ACCGGUGUGGUGAAAUUGGUAAACACGUCAUCUUAAGGAGGUGAUGAUUUAUGUUCUUGUGAGUUCGAGUCUCACCAUCGGUA
rnacentral:tRNA from 1 species